rnacentral:rRNA from 1 species
GGGUUGUGAGGUUAAGCGACUAAGCGUACACGGUGGAUGCCCUGGCAGUCAGAGGCGAUGAAGGACGUGCUAAUCUGCGAAAAGCGUCGGUAAGGUGAUAUGAACCGUUAUAACCGGCGAUGUCCGAAUGGGGAAACCCAGUGCAAUUCGUUGCACUAUCGUUAACUGAAUACAUAGGUUAACGAGGCGAACCGGGGGAACUGAAACAUCUAAGUACCCCGAGGAAAAGAAAUCAACCGAGAUUCCCCCAGUAGCGGCGAGCGAACGGGGAGCAGCCCAGAGUCUGAAUCAGCUUGUGUGUUAGUGGAACGGUCUGGAAAGUCCGACGGUACAGGGUGAUAGUCCCGUACACCAAAAUGCACAGGUUGUGAACUCGAAGAGUAGGGCGGGACACGUGGUAUCCUGUCUGAAUAUGGGGGGACCAUCCUCCAAGGCUAAAUACUCCUGACUGACCGAUAGUGAACCAGUACCGUGAGGGAAAGGCGAAAAGAACCCCGGCGAGGGGAGUGAAAAAGAACCUGAAACCGUGUACGUACA